AUGGUCUCUAGGAUGAGGUUGGAGGAUAAGUGUACGCGUGUCGUUUCUGUAGACUUUGCUCGUGUCGGUUUCACGGCCCAGCAAAAGGCGGUUUCGCGGCCCAGCAAAAGGCAGGAGUGCUUGAGCAGAAGCACCUCGCUAUCGUUGAGGCCACCACGGCCGCCUGCGGGUGCGAUGAGGAGAAGGAUCUCCUGGUGGAGCUUGGCAGCGGGAAGGAGUCGGGAGGAGGAGAUUUCACGAAAUCUGCACUUAAUCAUCGAUUCACCAGACCUGCAGGUUUGGAGGACAAAGCCUUGAUGUUGUGGCCAAACAAAGCUUGAUAAUAAACUUGCAGCCAGCAAGUUGCUUUGAUAAAUAUGUUCACUUCUACAAACUGUAGUAGCAGCAACCAGCAAGUGUUUAAACUUACAACCGUUUUUUUUCUAAUCCUUAAAUAAAUUUGUGUUAGCCUAUUUUUUUUUGUUCAUUUACAAGCUUCAAGAAAACAAGCAUAGCUAAUCUAGCAUUUGACAGGGUCUCUGUUGCUGUCUUCCUUGAUCAGAAUCCCCUCCUAGCUUCAUGAUACAUCCUCGACCAACAAUGAGGUUGAUCUAGUUUGCUGCUGGUUCAUGUAGUAUGGUUUCUAACCCAGACUAGAGUUUUUUUUUUUUUAGAGAAGACUAGAGAGUUAUUUGGGGUGCUUUCAACAAUCAGAUUCACAGUCCUUGACAACACUUCUUCUAAUUCAUGAUGUUCAGUUGAAACGUCUUCCGGAUAAGGAACUAUAAUCACAUCUACAUCACAAUGGUUUCUCUCACAACUCCUCGAUUCGGGCGAUGCAACAUCAAUCAAACAAAAUAACGGUAAUUAGUAUGGUUUGACCGCACCAAGUUUCAACUAGAUAAUACUCAAAAUUGCAGGUCUAAACUAAGGAAAGGCUCAAGUAAGAUAAGUGGAGGAGAAAGUAACCAAUGGAAAAUUACAUGAAGCAUUCGUGAAUUUGAAUCGUGUGCAAUAUAUUAUUCUAUUUGCUUGGGUCGGAUGAAAUUCAGUUUUCAUGUGACUUUGUUUGGCCUGUACAAAUCCUCCACUAAUUGAAGUGCAGUCUAUUUAGUGGUAUUUCUAUAUUUUUUGGAUGUUCUGUUUAGGCUUUAGCUAUUGUCACAGUAAUAUUUUAUUAUUGUUUUGGAUUGAGCCAUGUCGAUUAUGA